CUACGGGUCGCAGCAGUAGGGAAUAUUGGACAAUGGGCGAAAGCCUGAUCCAGCAACACCGCGUGCACGAUGACGGCCUUCGGGUUGUAAAGUGCUUUUAGAGGAGAUGAGAAAGGACAGUAUCCUCUGAAUAAGCCUCGGCGAACUACGUGCCAGCAGCCGCGGUAAAACGUAGGAGGCAAGCGUUAUCCGGAUUUAUUGGGCGUAAAGCGCGUGCAGGCGGUCUAGCAAGUUGGAUGUGAAAGCUCCCGGCUCAACUGGGAGAGGUCGUUCAAUACUGUUAGACUAGAGAAUAGGAGAGGGAGGUGGAAUUCCGGGUGUAGUGGUGAAAUGCGUAGAUAUCCGGAGGAACACCAGUGGCGAAAGCGGCCUCCUGGACUAUUUCUGACGCUAAGACGCGAAAGCUAGGGUAGCAAACGGGAUUAGAUACCCUAGUAGUC
rnacentral:rRNA from 1 species